AUACUUACCUGGCAGGGGAGAUACCAUGAUCACGAAGGUGGUUUUCCCAGAGCGAGGCUUAUCCAUUGCACUCCGGAUGUGCUGACCCCUGCGAUUUCCCCAAAUGUGGGAAACUCGACUGCAUAAUUUGUGGUAGUGGGGGACUGCGUUCGCGCUUUCCCCUG
ensembl:snRNA RNU1-1 RNA, U1 small nuclear 1